AGCGAACGUUUGCGGCGGGCCUAACACAUGCAAGUCGAACGCACUAGCAAUAGUGAGUGGCGCACGGGUGCGUAACACGUGGGUAAUCAACCCUUCAGCUUGGGAUAACGACUUGAAAGGGUCGCUAAUACCGGAUACGGCGCGAGAGGCUUCGGCUUCUCACGAGAAAGCCUCGCAAGGGGCACUGAAGGACGAGCCUGCGGCCCAUCAGCUAGUUGGUGAGGUAAGAGCUCACCAAGGCUAAGACGGGUAGCUGGUCUGAGAGGAUGAUCAGCCACACUGGAACUGAGACACGGUCCAGACUCCUACGGGAGGCAGCAGUGGGGAAUAUUGCGCAAUGGGCGGAAGCCUGACGCAGCCACGCCGCGUGAGCGAUGAAGGCCU
rnacentral:rRNA from 1 species